GGGGGUGGCUGUAGCUCAGUGGUAGAGCCCGUGCUUGACAUGCACGAGGUCCUGGGUUCAAUCCCCAGUAUCUUCA